rnacentral:tRNA from 1 species
UGCUGGAUAGUUAAAAAAAAAUAAUAAAUUUGGGGUUUAUAGUUAGAUGUUAGUCUUCCGGUAA